AGGCCUUUUCUUGCUUGGGCUUCGAGGUAGUUUGCUUCCUCUUGCUCCUGUAAUCGACCCGAACUCUCGUAACACCGCCCUCGUCUGGCGUCUCGGUGGUUGCAAGUUGUGAAUUCUCGCCGCGUUUGGUGAAAUUUCUUGAAAUUGGCUGCAUGGGGGAAGUGUAGUGACCAGGAAUUUACGUACCCAUAUGUCGGAUUUUCUGGUAGGAAAUAGGCGGUAGGGAAUUUUUGAUGUGUGCACGAGGAGCCCUGUAGUUAGGGUUUUCUGAGUCUUUCGGUGAGAGGAGGAAGAAUUUGCUUGUUGGGAAUUUUCUGGUUGCACACUCCCCGCCGCACAUGGAUUGUGAUAAAACUCCCACUUCAGAGGAAUCAUGUGAUUUUACUAUGGGAAUCGGAGAGUAUUGUGAUUAACAAUGUGAUUGUUCAUGUCAAGCAGUCGCUCAUUGCUAUUGGCAAGCAUGUUCUGACAUUUCAGCAAGCCUAACGCUAGGGCCACUGUUGUAUUCAGCAUGGAUGAAAUGAUGGAAGAGGUGGUAUUAUAGGGCUUAUUGGCAGGUGGUGAUGAUGGCGGGGGAGCGCGACAAGGAUCGAGGGCCGCGUGGGGACACGGGCGCCGCUACGUCGUUAUGGAUAGACUAUCUGCUGCUGCCGGAGAAGCUGGAGGAGCACCUUGCGACUCUUGCAGGGGGCAAUGUGUCAAUUCCCACUCCAGCCGAGCUUAUUACCGUGUUUUUGGAGCAGGCCCUUCUGAGUCAGAAAGCUUCGCUAGGGCAUACAUUGCCUACGAGUGCUAAGGAUGUGUUGCCCGUAUCUGAUGCGUGGACGACUGUGACGAAGACAGCAGCAUUGCUAUGUGAGCGCGCAGCCAGAGUUGCAGUGUCAGCAAAUCUGACGCUUGAGGAAAUUGAGGCCUCCAUCAGCUCCCCUCAACAUCAGUUCAUGCUUCUUAAAGCCCUCGUGAAGCACGACAAACCUCGUUUACUGAUUCAUGAAUGUGACCUUAACCGAUGGAUGCUGCGUAAUGCUUUGCAAUCACAUCCGUUAGGAUCAGCUGCUCCGAACGCUACUCUUUCUGGGCCUCGGCACCAUUAUUGGACAUUGGGCGAAGAUGUCGCUAAUACCAUAGAUACUCCAGAUAGUGGAUGCUGGUCUGUAUCCAUUUCUCGGAAUCUCUGCAAUGGUGCUGCUAAGGAUACAUUGGAGGAGGAAAAGCUCGCAAUAGAGUUUCUCGAGAAUGUCCUGUCGCACAGGGAUGGGGUUUGCUCGAAGGGGCCAGCAUCUGCGUGCAAAUUGACGAGUAUGAUUGUACAGGAUGGAGGGGAUCGACCCAAUGGUGUCAAUCCUGAGGCAGCUUUAAAUACCUUUUUGAGCACAGGGUAUUGGUGCCGAAUCAUGCUAGACGUUGCCGAGGUACACUUUAUGAGAGGACGAAUUCAUGUUGCUCAUGGGCUGUUUACAAGAUGUGCCGAGUUGAACCAGCGUAUCAGCGAGGCUGAUAGGAGCUCAGUCGGUGCAGACAACCCACACCUAGAAAGAUCGAAUAAUGCAGAGAGUCACCGUUCUGUAUCAUCAGUGCCAAUGCAAAGACUUGCAGGUUUUAUAGUCGCCUGUCGGAUGCUUCUGAGGUUACACCCGAAAUCCAAUGUCAGCGAAGGAAGGGAGAGAGACCUAAAUGAGAUUGCACUUAAAUCUUCUCCCCUACUUUCACUAGGCGAGCCAUCUGCCGCUCAAAAGAUGGUCAUUGCCUGCGAAAGAAGCAGGUAUAAUUUAAAGCAAAAUUCUGAGGCAGAUAAGCCGCUCGUUCGAACAAAGCCAGAGGAUGACGACUUAGUAACUCAGCCGCCUUUCAAGAAACUAAAGUCAUUUCGCUCUCCUGAUAUGGAAACAUGGACUAGUCUAGAAUCUCAAGAAGUCAACGCCGCGAAUGAUAGAUCGAAGAAUGAUGAUCUGAUGACUUCUGGAGUUCAAAUUCGCGAAGAUAUUGCACCAGAAUCAAUAAGCGAAGAAUGCGAAAGCAAGAAGAUUGAGCGCGAUACCACUGACGUCGAGACGCAAGCUCUUGUAAGAGAGGUUGUUGUUGGAGUUGAGGAUUCGCGACCUGCUAACGGUAUCAGAACACUUCCCAAGAAAAAGGUUCGUAGUAUCAUGGAUUUCAAAGUUGGAGAUGAAGUCUCAAGUGUAGGGAAAGAACGAGAUGGCAUUCGACUGAUUCGCAACGUAGUUGGUGAUACCCUCGAAGGUCACUUGACGAAGGGAUAUCGUAUCUCCUUGGCAAGGGAUCCAGGCAUUCCAGUGUCGAUACACUGGCAGCUUGUAGCAUGUAACGUCAUCAGAGACAUUGUUGAGGGAGCUCCCAUGCAGUCCUUUCUGCAAUCUAGUCGCGUGUUUCGUGACAAUGAAGAAGCCGUUAAUUUUUUGAUGUCUCAGAUGGCGGCAGUAAAGAAAAGCUUCGACGAAUUGACCACAGUAUCCAAGAAUGGUACUUUACUUAAGCCUCCAGCAAUCGAGCGGAUGAACAUAAGACAAGGUUUUGAAAGAACAGCAACGGACGUGGGAUGUACCAUGAAUAGUAGCAAUUCUAGUGCAUUUAUCUCCGAAUUUGCCCUAUACGUGUGUUGCGUUUUGGAUAAACAUUGGUGUUGGGAAGCUGCUCUAAGGACCAACCUCAUUAGUUCUACAAUGGUUCCAAAACUCUUCGUCUCAGAACAUUAUGUGGUGAGACGUGAACAUAUCCCACAGGAACUCUGGGUCGAUGCAGUGCAGUCGGCGGCAAUAUCUUUCACCAGAACGGCCGUUCGUGCCGCGGACUCUGAGCGAUUUCUGGGAGGCCAUUUCCAGAGCAGACUGUCAAGUGGCAAUGUUCCUGCGAACACCGCAGCUUCUCCGGCAGUCCCAUCAUCCUCAGAGAAUGAUCUUAAAUUGGAAGUUUUGUUGUGUGAACUUCUAACUGCUGAGAAUGUUUGGGAUAUCGAAAGGCUUGUUACAACCGUCCACAGGCUGAAUGCGGCUCUAAGUGCAAAGAAUAGUUCUGAUUGUUCUAGGGCACAUUCUGAAGUAGAGCAUGUAAAAACUGGCAAUCACAAGGCUGACAUUAAGGCUUCACUUGCAUUGGACGUUUCUGCUGUUUUGCGUAGGCGUGCUUUCAAUGCUUUGGACACCACAAAACAAUUUUUGGUUGCGAGGAAGUUGUACGAAAUGGCUAUAACGAUACAUACCAGAGAUCAUGAUAGUAUGAUGAUGUUGUGGCUGUUGGAUAGGGUGAGCUUGAAAGAGGGAGCUCUUUUGUGCCUACCAGGGGUUGAAGAUUUCGACCAGGGGAUUUCACUUGAUUUGGGUGCAAUUGAGUACAUACUUCUUAGUUUGAUCGAGAGAGAACUUUGGAAGGAUUUAUCUGAGCUUUGUGAAUGGGGGCUCUCUAUUGUAAAAAAAGGAAGGAGCACUGGAAUUGGUACUCGUGCUGAAGGAUCUCACAAAGGACAGGACAUCUGGCACAGAAGGUGCGCUCAGAUUUUGAAAGUGGUAACUGUGUUGGCAGAGCUUAUGCGGCUUUGUUCUGCCCUGCUGUCAAGUACUGCACACAACCACUAUACGGAAGAUGUGGUUCGUAUGAGUUUGAAAACGUCCCAACUUUUUGAAGAUUUUUUAUGUUUGUUGGUCGGCGGUGAUGUUGAAGGAUCCUCAUCAGGGAUGGAGAAUGGAAACCAAUCAUGGGGAGCACAGAAUCGAAAAGUAGCCCUACUGUUAUUAAACCCCAGUAUUCGAGUUGUUCCUCUUAUAUCUCAGCUCACCAACCCGCGUGUGCUGAUGAAUCUUGCAAGUUUGAUGGCUGGCUGGCUGCACAGGUGUAACGCAGAGAAACUCACGUCUGUUACUAUUGUGGUUGAAAGAUACGAAGCGUUAGCAGCAAUUACCUGUGGGACUACUUUUCCUCCUCUCGGAUCACUCCCUCAUGGUGCUGGGUCGUUCUCCACCUUUUCUUCUAGAGUAGCUCCUGAAUUUGGCAGGAACCUUUUUGGUGCGCUGUUAGAAAGAAUUGUUGAGCUUCCAGGGGUUGUAGAUAAAGAUAAGGAGAAAGGGCAUCGGUGGUUGCAAGGUCUGGCUGAUCUUGCGUUUGAAGAAGAAGCUUAUGUGAAAGCUCUUCAACUCUACCUUCAAGCCGGAGCUAUUAAGAGUGCUUAUUAUUGUGAUCGAUCCUCAGCAAUGACUAAGGAAGUAUUUACCCAGAGUGUGUUGCGAAGGAUGGUGCAAUGUUGCCGAAUGAUAGGUGCGACUGUUCAGGCAGCUCUUUUAUGCCAAAAAUUAGAAGAUCCUGACCAUGAGUACGCGUUUCGAAUUUUGCAAGAAAAUUCAUUGAUAGUGGUCCGUGAUGCAGUAGCAUACUUUGAUUGUGUAUGGGAGGUUCCAUUGCUGGAGCUUCUAGUGCACAUGCACGCAAAGAGUGGUGAUCACGAGCGUCAUUCUGCAUUGAUAUCUCUUCUUCAGCAACCAGCGCUCAAUGCACAUAAUCCGCAAUCAGUAAGGGUUGCUCAUGUGGCUUCCCUCGGGCAACGUUUUCUACAACGUCUUUGUGAGGAGCUUCUUUGAUGACGGUUCAAUUUCCAUCCAGUGGAUUAUGUGCCGAGUGGGUUCGAGAAGCCCAGUUCUGUGCACCCAACAACUGAAUAGAAGCCGCAACCCAAUGUUCUGACGAGACUGCUCCAUGCCUUGGCCAUUGCUACCCAAGGGCGCCCCCAAGAAUAUGGGACAUAAACGUGUCCAACAUGCCUCUGCAGGAUUUUACGGAACUGCCGUCGGCUAUUUGUAAUGAAAGAAAUUGGGCUUUUUUACUCAGUAUCGUUUUAACUUCUUUCCAACCUAGGCUUGAGACCGUAAAGCUUAAAGAUGUUUCAGCAUUAGAACAGCCAUGGAGACUACACUCUUCGUCAAGGAGGAAGCUCAAGAAUUGUCCACUGAGGUCUUAUAUUUUGGACUUCUCCUGUAAGACUGACUGCGUGAUUCAAGUCUUUUUGAUGUGUUAGAACCCACUGAUGUUGAGUUCUGACGUUAAUUCUUUCUCAAGUCAGGAAAGAUUUUGAUUGCAGAGUGUACGAGUUUGAUGGUACAGUGUUAAAAUCUUUAAACACUUUGAAAGGUAAUGAAAACAAAUGAAAUGUGUAUUGUCUAUAAAUUGAACUCUUCAUGUAGAUUUAUUUAUUUACUUAUUUAUUUAUUUCCCCUA